GAUGAACGCUGGCGGCGUGCUUAACACAUGCAAGUCGAACGGAAAGGCCCCUGCUUGCAGGGGUACUCGAGUGGCGAACGGGUGAGUAACACGUGGGUGAUCUGCCCUGCACUUCGGGAUAAGCCUGGGAAACUGGGUCUAAUACCGGAUAGGACCACAUUUUGGAUGGUGUGGUGGAAAGUUUUUCGGUGUGGGAUGAGCUCGCGGCCUAUCAGCUUGUUGGUGGGGUAAUGGCCUACCAAGGCGUCGACGGGUAGCCGGCCUGAGAGGGUGUACGGGCACAUUUGGACUGGGAUAAGGGCCAGACUCCCACGGGGGGGAGCAGGGGGGAAUAUUGGACAAAGGGGGCGAGGCUGAAGGAGGGAAGCCGCGUGGGGGAUGACGGGCUUCGGGGUGUAAACUCCUUUUGCUAGGGACGAAGCGUUUUUGUGACGGUACCUGGAGAAGAAGCACCGGCUAACUACGUG
rnacentral:rRNA from 1 species